rnacentral:rRNA from 1 species
UACGUAGGUGGCAAGCGUUGUCCGGAUUUACUGGGCGUAAAGAGCGCGCAGGCGGUCGUUCAAGUCGCGUGUGAAAGCCCCCGGCUCAACUGGGGAGGGUCACGCGAUACUGAUCGACUGGAAGGCAGGAGAGGGUAGUGGAAUUCCCGGUGUAGUGGUGAAAUGCGUAGAUAUCGGGAGGAACACCGGUGGCGAAGGCGGCCUUCUGGACAGUGACUGACGCUGAGACGCGAAAGCGUGGGGAGCAAACAGG